UUCCCGGAUCUCCCCUCAUUCCCGGAUCUCCCCUCAUUCCCGGGUACCCCCUCAUUCCCGGAUCUCCCCUCACUCCCAGACCUCCCCUCACUCCCGGACCUCCCCUCACUCCCGGGUGCCCCCUCAGCCGAGGACACGUCCCCGCGCGCCCGCCCCGGGUCCUGAGCCCCACGGGCUG